rnacentral:rRNA from 1 species
AACGAACGCUGGCGGCAUGCCUAACACAUGCAAGUCGAACGAAGCCUUCGGGCUUAGUGGCGCACGGGUGCGUAACACGUGGGAAUCUGCCCUUUGGUUCGGAAUAACAGUUAGAAAUGACUGCUAAUACCGGAUAAUGACGUAAGUCCAAAGAUUUAUCGCCGAAGGAUGAGCCCGCGUAGGAUUAGGUAGUUGGUGGGGGUAAAUGGCCCACCAAGCCGACGAUCCUUAGCUGGUCUGAGAGGAUGAUCAGCCACACUGGGACUGAGACACGGCCCAGACUCCUACGGGAGGCAGCAGUGGGGAAUAUUGGACAAUGGGCGAAAGCCUGAUCCAGCAAUGCCGCGUGAGUGAUGAAGGCCUUAGGGUUGUAAAGCUCUUUACCAGGGAUGAUAAUGACAGUACCUGGAGAAUAAGCUCCGGCUAACUCCGUGCCAGCAGCCGCGGUAAU